UGAGGAAUAUUGGUCAAUGGGCGAGAGCCUGAACCAGCCAAGUAGCGUGCGGGAUGAAGGCCCUUGUGGUCGUAAACCGCUUUUAUCAGUGAAUAAAGUGCAUCACGUGUGGUGUCAUUGCAGGUAGCUGAAGAAAAAGGACCGGCUAAUUCCGUGCCAGCAGCCGCGGUAAUACGGAAGGUCCGGGCGUUAUCCGGAAUUAUUGGGUUUAAAGGGAGCGCAGGCGGGAGUGUAAGUCAGCUGUUAAAUAUCAGGGCCCAACUCUGUUAUGCAGUUGAAACUAUAUUUCUUGAGUACGCACAGGGAUGGCGGAAUUCAGGGUGUAGCGGUGAAAUGCUUAGAUAUCCUGAAGAACUCCGAUCGCGAAGGCAGCCAUCCGGAGCGUAACUGACGCUGAGGCUCGAAGGUGCGGGUAUCGAACAGGAUUAGAUACCCUGGUAGUCCGCACGGUAAACGAUGAAUACUCGCAGUUCGGUCAUUAUGAUUGAGUUGUCCAGCGAAAGCGUUAAGUAUUCCACCUGGGGAGUACGCCGGCAACGGUG
rnacentral:rRNA from 1 species